rnacentral:rRNA from 1 species
UACGUAGGGGGCAAGCGUUGUCCGGAUUUAUUGGGCGUAAAGAGCGUGUAGGCGGUUUGGUAGGUCCGUUGUGAAAACUCGAGGCUCAACCUCGAGACGCCGGCGGAAACCAUCAGGCUAGAGUCCGGAAGAGGAGAGUGGAAUUCCUGGUGUAGCGGUGGAAUGCGUAGAGAUCGGGAAGAACAUCAGUGGCGAAGGCGGCCUGCUGGGCUGUUGCUGACGCUGAGGCGCGACAGCGUGGGGAGCAAACAGG